UACGUAGGCAGCAAGCGUUGUUCGGAAUUACUGGGCGUAAAGGGCUCGUAGGCGGCCAACUAAGUCAGACGUGAAAUCCCUCGGCUUAACCGGGGAACUGCAUCUGAUACUGGAUGGCUUGAGAUUGGGAGAGGGAUGCGGAAUUCCAGGUGUAGCGGUGAAAUGCGUAGAUAUCUGGAGGAACACCGGUGGCGAAGGCGGCAUCCUGGACCAACACUGACGCUGAGGAGCGAAAGCCAGGGGAGCAAACGGG
rnacentral:rRNA from 1 species